rnacentral:rRNA from 1 species
GACGAACGCUGGCGGCGUGCUUAACACAUGCAAGUCGAACGGAAAGGCCCUGCUUGCAGGGUACUCGAGUGGCGAACGGGUGAGUAACACGUGGGUGAUCUGCCCUGCACUUCGGGAUAAGCCUGGGAAACUGGGUCUAAUACCGGAUAGGAGCCAUUUUUAGUGUGAUGGUUGGAAAGUUUUUUCGGUGUAGGAUGAGCUCGCGGCCUAUCAGCUUGUUGGUGGGGUAAUGGCCUACCAAGGCGGCGACGGGUAGCCGGCCUGAGAGGGUGGACGGCCACAUUGGGACUGAGAUACGGCCCAGACUCCUACGGGAGGCAGCAGUGGGGAAUAUUGCACAAUGGGCGCAAGCCUGAUGCAGCGACGCCGCGUGGGGGAUGACGGCCUUCGGGUUGUAAACUCCUUUCGCCAGGGACGAAGCUUUUUGUGACGGUACCUAGAUAAGAAGCACCGGCUAACUACUUG